rnacentral:rRNA from 1 species
UACGUAGGUGGCAAGCGUUGUCCGGAUUUAUUGGGCGUAAAGAGCGCGCAGGCGGUCGUUCAAGUCGCGUGUGAAAGCCCCCGGCUCAACUGGGGAGGGUCACGCGAUACUGAUCGACUCGAAGGCAGGAGAGGGAAGUGGAAUUCCCGGUGUAGUGGUGAAAUGCGUAGAUAUCGGGAGGAACACCGGUGGCGAAGGCGACUUCCUGGCCUGUUCUUGACGCUGAGGCGCGAAAGCUAGGGGAGCAAACGGG